rnacentral:tRNA from 1 species
GGCGCGAUAGCUCAGCUGGGAGAGCGACAGACUGAAGUCUGAAUGUUUCGGUAUCUGCAGGUCCCCGGUUCAAUCCCGGGUCGUGCCA